AUGGAUCAAAACCAUGGAUACCUUUAUUUAAGCGUAAAGGAAGCAUUGACUAGAGCACACAGGAUCAGGGUAGCAGUGGUGGUAUAUGCCAUCAUCCUCCACACCAUGCACCCAAUCUACGUCAAUUUCAUGAUCUUCAAUGAGCUUAUCGUUGGUAUAAGAUGUGCCAGAUUCAUAGAACUUCUCAAAUUCAUUGCGCCCGAAGAAACUCUCCACGGCUGGAUGAACAAUUCUGUUUCCUUCAUACUCACAUCCCUGAAUCCACCGGUAUUGGUCUUUGUUCAAAGCAAAGAGAGGGCAAAAGAGCUCUACAGAGAGCUGGUAUAUGACGACAUUAGAGUUGAUGUAAUCCAUGGAGACCUUACUGAAGAGCAGCGUCAAGAUGCUGUUGACAACUUGAGAGCUGGAAAAAGCUGGGUGCUAAUAGCAACAGAGGUUCUUGCACGGGGAAUGGAUUUCAAAGGUGUCAAGUGUGUAAUCAACUAUGAUUUCCCUGAGUCCGCGUCUGCCUACAUUCACAGAAUAGGACAGUCCGGAAGAGCAGGCAGAUCGGGGGAGGCGAUCACGUUCUUCACGGAGGAGGACAAGCCGUUCCUGUGGAACAUCGCCAACAUACUGGUAUCUUCGGGCUGCGAGGUUCCUUCCUGGAUGGUGGCGUUGCCCAAGCUCAAGAGCAGGAAGCACAGGGUGGACAGAGAUGACACGUUUGGCCUCACUUUUCCCUGUUUGAAUGCCCGGUGGGCAGGGAGAAUAGAAUACAUAUCAACCAUUGAGGCCAGUUUUUACUGGAAUUUUUCUUGCGGCCAUCAGGAUGUUUGUGUAGCUUGGAAGACAAGGAAGCACAACAAAUGGAGGCGUUCUGUUUAA
rnacentral:rRNA from 1 species